rnacentral:rRNA from 1 species
GACGAACGCUGGCGGCGUGCUUAACACAUGCAAGUCGAGCGGUAAGGCCCUUUCGGGGGUACACGAGCGGCGAACGGGUGAGUAACACGUGGGUGACCUGCCCUCAGCUCUGGGAUAAGCCUGGGAAACCGGGUCUAAUACUGGAUAUGACUCCAUGACGCAUGUUGUGGGGUGGAAAGCCUUGUGCGGCUGAGGAUGGGCCCGCGGCCUAUCAGCUUGUUGGUGGGGUGAUGGCCUACCAAGGCGACGACGGUAGCCGGCCUGAGAGGGCGACCGGCCACACUGGGACUGAGACACGGCCCAGACUCCUACGGGAGGCAGCAGUGGGGAAUCUUGCGCAAUGGGCGAAAGCCUGACGCAGCGACGCCGCGUGAGGGAUGACGGCCU